rnacentral:misc_RNA from 1 species
GUGAAUUAAACAUGCUUGGUGUCUUCGCUUCGGCAAGGCCCUUGCUUAAAUCACAUCCUAACACCUGUGGAACUGUAAGACGUAUGAUGAGGUCUUUGGCCAAGUCAUCGUCUGCCCAUUUUUAACAAACAAUUAAUGUAACAAACGUAGUCUUAUUAUAACCUAAUA